UGAAGACUGAGUUUUCAGUUCAUGCGAGAUCUGAUUGUUUAAAAGAGUGCAGCACUUCCUCCACCUUGCUCCCUCUCUUGCCACUGAUGUGCCUGCUUCCCCUUCACCUUCUGCCUGGAUUGUAAGCUCCCUGAGAACCUCACCAGAAGCAGAUGCCAGCACCACGCUUCCUAUACAGCCUGCCAAAAUGAGCUCCUGAAUUUCACAGACAAAUCCAGACCCCUGUGUGGAAAGCCUGCGGUGGUGUUCUCCGUCUUCCCACAGGACUCCCUGCAGCCAGGAAUUCUAGGGGAGCACCUGACGCGAGGUAUACGCCCAGAUGGCCUGAAGUAACUGAAGAAUCACAAAAGAAGUGAAAAUGUCCUGCCCCGCCUUAACUGAUGACAUUCCACCACAAAGGAAGUGUCAAUGGCUGGUCCUUGCCUUAACUGAUGACAUUCCACCGCAAAAGAAGUGAAAAUGGCCGGUCCUUGCCUUAACUGAUGACAUUACACCACAAAAGAAGUGAAAAUGGCCGGUCCUUGCCUUAAGUGAUGGCAUUACCUUGUGAAAGUCCUUUUCCUGGCUCAUUCUGGCUCAAAAUCACCCCCACUGAGCACCUUGUGACCCCCACUCCUGCCCGCCAGGGAACAAUCCCCCUUUGACUGUAAUUUUCCUUUACCUACCCAAAUCUUAUAAAAUGGCCCCACCCCUAUCUCCCUUUGCUGACUCUCUUUUUGGACUCAGCCUGCCUGCAUCCAGGUGAUUAAAAGCUUUUAUUGCUCAC
rnacentral:lncRNA from 1 species